GAGGAGGUGGAGAGUAUUAUUAGAGGAGGUGGAGAGUAUUAUUAGAGAAGGUGGAGAGUAUUAGAGGAGGUGGAGAGUAUUAUUAGAGGAGGUGGAGAGUAUUAGAGGAGGUGGAGAGUAUUAGAGGAGGUGGAGAGUAUUAUUAGAGGAGGUGGAGAGUAUUAUUAGAGGAGGAGGAGAGUAUUAUUAGAGGAGGUGGAGAGUAUUAGAGGAGGUGGAGAGAUUAUUAGAGGAGGUGGAGAGUAUUAGAGGAGGUGGAGAGUAUUAUUAGAGGAGGAGGAGAGUAUUAGAGGUGGAGAGUAUUAGAGGAGGGGGAGAGUAUUAUUAGAGGAGGUGGAGAGUAUUAUUAGAGGAGGUGGAGAGUAUUAGAGGUGGAGAGUAUUAGAGGAGGGGGAGAGUAUUAUUAGAGGAGGCAGAGAGUAUUAUUAGAGGAGGCGGAGAGUAUUAUUAGAGGAGGGUGGAGAGUAUUAGAGGGGUGGAGAGAAUUAUUGGAGGAGGCGGAGAGUAUUAUUAGAGGAGGUGGAGAGUAUUAUUAGAGGAGAUGGAGAGUAUUAGAGGAAGUGGAGAGUAUUGUUAGAGGAGAUAUAGUAUUGUUAGAGGAGAUAUAGUUUUGUUAGAGGAGACAGAGAGUAUUAUCAGAGGAGAUGGGGGAGUAUUAUUAGAGGCAGAGCGUUUUGUUAGAGGAGAUAUAGUUUUGUUAGAGGAGGCAGAGCGUAUUAUCAGAGGCGGUGGAGAGUAUUAUUAACUUCUUCUG
rnacentral:lncRNA from 1 species